ensembl:lincRNA Gm28706 predicted gene 28706
AGUCAUUUUGCUUUAGAGCCUCUACUUCUUACCUGGAGGUAGAUAAAGGACAUGACAUCUUCAGCCAUCAGAGAUUUCAGCAUCAGAGAUGGUUAUUAUCUUCAAAACACACGAGUGAAGAGCAUUCAGCUCAGCUGUGAAGACCUUUCCUAGCAUGCCCAGGGACAAGGGUUUCAUCACACACUAUAAAUAUAAAAAUGCUACAGCUUGAGGUGAACAUGAUCAAAGAGUGCUCCAAAGUAUAUAAAAUUGUCUCCGUGGAGCCCACUGGAGUAUAAAGUCAGUCGUACCAAGGAUUAAAAAUGGAAGAUAUAACACAUUCAGGCUUCUCCUCUUGGUUCUAGUAUGACAAGCA